GACGAACGCUGGCGGCGUGCCUAAUACAUGCAAGUAGAACGCUGAAGGAAGGAGCUUGCUCUUUCCGGAUGAGUUGCGAACGGGUGAGUAACGCGUAGGUAACCUGCCUGGUAGCGGGGGAUAACUAUUGGAAACGAUAGCUAAUACCGCAUAACAGUAGAUAUCGCAUGAUAUGUGCUUGAAAGGUGCAAAUGCAUCACUACCAGAUGGACCUGCGUUGUAUUAGCUAGUUGGUGAGGUAACGGCUCACCAAGGCAACGAUACAUAGCCGACCUGAGAGGGUGAUCGGCCACACUGGGACUGAGACACGGCCCAGACUCCUACGGGAGGCAGCAGUAGGGAAUCUUCGGCAAUGGACGGAAGUCUGACCGAGCAACGCCGCGUGAGUGAAGAAGGUUUUCGGAUCGUAAAGCUCUGUUGUAAGAGAAGAACGAGUGUGAGAGUGGAAAGUUCACACUGUGACGGUAUCUUACCAGAAAGGGACGGCUAACUACGUGCCAGCAGCCGCGGUAAUACGUAGGUCCCGAGCGUUGUCCGGAUUUAUUGGGCGUAAAGCGAGCGCAGGCGGUUAGAUAAGUCUGAAGUUAAAGGCUGUGGCUUAACCAUAGUACGCUUUGGAAACUGUUUAACUUGAGUGCAAGAGGGGAGAGUGGAAUUCCAUGUGUAGCGGUGAAAUGCGUAGAUAUAUGGAGGAACACCGGUGGCGAAAGCGGCUCUCUGGCUUGUAACUGACGCUGAGGCUCGAAAGCGUGGGGAGCAAACAGG
rnacentral:rRNA from 1 species